GGGCAAGUGGUGGAAUGGCUUACACGAAGGCCUUAAAAGCCUUUGGCCGCAAGGUCAUGAGGGUUCAACUCCCUCCUUGCCCA
rnacentral:tRNA from 1 species